rnacentral:rRNA from 1 species
AACGAACGCUGGCGGCGCGUUUUAAGCAUGCAAGUCGAACGGCAGUACGGGUAGCAAUACUUGUACGAGAGUGGCGAACGGGUGAGUAACACGUAGGUGAUCUACCCCUGGAUGGGGGAUAGUCCGUGGAAACACGGGGUAAUACCGCAUGAGGCCUUGGGGGUAAAGCCCUGAGGUGAAAGCUCCAAUUGGAGCGUCUGGGGAUGAGCCUGCGGCCCAUUAGGCAGUUGGCGGGGUAAUGGCCCACCAAACCGACGAUGGGUAGCCGGCCUGAGAGGGUGUACGGCCACACUGGAACUGAGACACGGUCCAGACACCUACGGGUGGCAG